ensembl:lncRNA
GAUGACUGUGAUAAGCUAGACUUUGCAGCUGCCAGGGCUCAGAACAAAGAAGGUCUGGACCAGUUUGUCCAGGACCGCACCGUCAUUGCUGCCCUCAAUGACCGCCUGGUCAGGCUGAUUGAGCUGGCUCGUUGUUUUGAGGACGACAAUGAGUCUCUUGAAUGUCAGAUCACUGAGUUGGAGGAAGAGCUGAACAAUCGCCAGGCCUCUUCCAGCAUCACCUCCACUGUGGCGGUGCCCGACCACAGCCUGGACACUGUGGUGGAAAGACUGGGCAAGCAGAGGGAUGAGAUUCUGAAUGACACACAGGAGCUGCAGAAAGAGCUCAAGCUCCUGAAGAAAGACUAUGAGAAGGCGUCGCAGCAGAGGAUCUUCGUCCGGCAGGAACAACAAGAUGUGGCUGAGGAAGUGGAUGCUGUGACAGCAGAGUGUUUGGCUCUGAGGGAGCAAGUGACUAUCUACGAGGAGCAGCUGGCCAGCAUGGAGACCCUGCACAGGACGACAGUGGAGGAUAUGCUGGAGCCCAACGAAGGGAUCACCCGGGCAGCAGUGAUUAAAUUUGGCAGCCCUGACAUUGCUCUGGCUUUGGAUGUAAAAAAGUACUACUGCCAACUGGCUGAGACACUCCAGUAUGAGUGCGGUGCAGCCUCCUCUGCUGUGGUCCACAGUGGUGACGGAAAGGAAGUGGAAGUGGGAGGAACUGGAGGGUCAACGGUCAAAGACUUGACAAAGAUAAAGGACGCCGGUGAGAUAAAGAUGCUGAUUUCAGAGCUACAAAAGGAGCUUGCUGAGCUCGAGAAGCAUAACGAGGAAUUGGAGGACGAGGUUGAAAUGAAGAAGGCUGCAUACAUGGAUGAGAUUGCUGAUCUAGAGGCGACUAUAGAUGAAAUGAAGUGUCAGAAGGCCAAUUUCCAAGAACAGAUGAAGGAGCAGUGUGAAGACUAUAAGUUUCUGCUCACUCAGAAGAUGGCCAGAGACAUGGAGAUUGCUGCUUACAGGAGUCUAGUGGAGGAAGAGGAGGAGAGACUGUGCAGCCUGUGACUUAAGCCUGAGCAGUCAGAUCUGCUGUCCUGACUGUGGUUGUGCUCCCCAACACAGACAAAAGACAAACGCGUAAAAACAGACCCCAUUUCUGCACUUCGAUGAAGCUUAACGCAACGAUUCGGCAAUUUGAGCAGACGUAAACUUAGUAUGACAGAUUAAUGCUGUCUGGAGGCCUACAGUAAGCCGGGCCAUUGAUUACAGGUUUCUGGCAGAUGACCCUGAUACUCCAAGAAAGAUGGAGCUGUCUAAAACUGGUGGGGGCUGUGGGAUGAGUGUGUAUCCGUGCAGCGUCUGGAAGGGAUAUUUCGUUAAGUGAGGUUUUAUCUUUACCAGCUCUCUGAUAUGACUCAUAAAUGCUUUGUCCCCUCUUUGUUGAACAAGACUGACACGCAAUCGCAGAUAAACACACACACACACACACGCACACACCCUCAACUGUGCGGCUCCGCGGAGUCAUUCCCGCUCUGAUAUCACCUCGUCCAUCACUCAGCCUCUGUCUGGCUCUUAACCUGCGACCCCGUCACUGUUAACAAAGACAAUGACGGCUCUCUCUUUGGUAACUAAAAGCGUUUCGCCUUCCCUUUGCUUUUUCAGCCAUACAUUUGAGUUGGUUUUGACGGCCGAGAGUCCAGCGUGCUGUGUUUGCUUUUCAAAUGGUUCAUGAAGUUGUUUUUCUGCAGCUCUUUCAAAAUGAGCACCUGGAUCUUUCCACAAGAAAAACUCUGUGUGAUUAAUCAUUGCUUCUUUCAAAAGCAGUGUCCCAAUUUACUGUCGUUUCGGAAAUAAGCAUUCGGUAAUACAUUCCCUAGUAAUCUUUUCCUUAUUUUCUACAUAAUGUUAAAGCCGUCUGCGAUAAAUCAUUUUUGGUUGCUGCCUCUGCACAAGC